UGGCGAACGGGUGAGUAACACGUGAGCAACCUGCCCCUGACUCUGGGAUAAGCGCUGGAAACGGCGUCUAAUACUGGAUAUGUGACGUGACCGCAUGGUCUGCGUCUGGAAAGAAUUUCGGUUGGGGAUGGGCUCGCGGCCUAUCAGCUUGUUGGUGAGGUAAUGGCUCACCAAGGCGUCGACGGGUAGCCGGCCUGAGAGGGUGACCGGCCACACUGGGACUGAGACACGGCCCAGACUCCUACGGGAGGCAGCAGUGGGGAAUAUUGCACAAUGGGCGGAAGCCUGAUGCAGCAACGCCGCGUGAGGGAUGACGGCCUUCGGGUUGUAAACCUCUUUUAGCAGGGAAGAAGCGAAAGUGACGGUACCUGCAGAAAAAGCGCCGGCUAACUACGUGCCAGCAGCCGCGGUAAUACGUAGGGCGCAAGCGUUAUCCGGAAUUAUUGGGCGUAAAGAGCUCGUAGGCGGUUUGUCGCGUCUGCUGUGAAAUCCGGAGGCUCAACCUCCGGCCUGCAGUGGGUACGGGCAGACUAGAGUGCGGUAGGGGAGAUUGGAAUUCCUGGUGUAGCGGUGGAAUGCGCAGAUAUCAGGAGGAACACCGAUGGCGAAGGCAGAUCUCUGGGCCGUAACUGACGCUGAGGAGCGAAAGGGUGGGGAGCAAACAGGCUUAGAUACCCUGGUAGUCCACCCCGUAAACGUUGGGAACUAGUUGUGGGGUCCAUUCCACGGAUUCCGUGACGCAGCUAACGCAUUAAGUUCCCCGCCUGGGGAGUACGGCCGCAAGGCUAAAACUCAAAGGAAUUGACGGGGACCCGCACAAGCGGCGGAGCAUGCGGAUUAAUUCGAUGCAACGCGAAGAACCUUACCAAGGCUUGACAUAUACGAGAACGGGCCAGAAAUGGUCAACUCUUUGGACACUCGUAAACAGGUGGUGCAUGGUUGUCGUCAGCUCGUGUCGUGAGAUGUUGGGUUAAGUCCCGCAACGAGCGCAACCCUCGUUCUAUGUUGCCAGCACGUAAUGGUGGGAACUCAUGGGAUACUGCCGGGGUCAACUCGGAGGAAGGUGGGGAUGACGUCAAAUCAUCAUGCCCCUUAUGUCUUGGGCUUCACGCAUGCUACAAUGGCCGGUACAAAGGGCUGCAAUACCGCGAGGUGGAGCGAAUCCCAAAAAGCCGGUCCCAGUUCGGAUUGAGGUCUGCAACUCGACCUCAUGAAGUCGGAGUCGCUAGUAAUCGCAGAUCAGCAACGCUGCGGUGAAUACGUUCCCGGGUCUUGUACACACCGCCCGUCAAGUCAUGAAAGUCGGUAACACCUGAAGCCGGUGGCCUAACC
rnacentral:rRNA from 1 species